UACAUGGGGUGCAAACGUUGCUCGGAAUUAUUGGGCGUAAAGCGCGCGUAGGCGGUUACUCAAGUCGGAUGUGAAAGCCCUCGGCUUAACUGAGGAAGUGCACCCGAAACUGAGUAGCUAGAGUACCAAAGAGGGUCGCGGAAUUCCCGGUGUAGAGGUGAAAUUCGUAGAUAUCAAGCGGAACACCGGUGGCGAAGGCGGCCUUCUGGACAGUGACUGACGCUGAGACGCGAAAGCGUGGGGAGCAAACAGG
rnacentral:rRNA from 1 species